AAAGAAAGAAAGAAAGAAAAAAAGAAAGAAGAGAACAGGAGGAAAGA
rnacentral:ribozyme from 1 species